rnacentral:lncRNA from 13 species
UGUUAUGUUACCCAGGCUAGACUCGAACUCCUGGGCUCAAGAAUCCUAUCACCUCAGCCUUCCAAGAAGCUGGGACUACAGGCAUACAUCUCUACACCUGACUGGGGGCUACAUAAUAAUUUUCAGAUGAAGAAAUGGAGGCACAGAAAGAGUAAGUGAUUUAACCGAAGUCAAAAGUUUGCAGCAGAACAAAGAUUUGAGUCCAACCAGUCAGUACACAGGAACUGCACUUUAAACUGCUGCCCCAAUCUCACAGAGAUUUUGUUAAGCAGGUGGUAAUUGGAUUGAGCUUUUACAAAGUGUCACGUUUAAGUGAGAGAAAAGAAUAUAGAGAACACUCCAAUGGGAAGGAGGCUGUGAUAAUAGAAGAGAAAUUACAAAGUUAGAAUGAGAAUUACAUGUUUUAAAAAAUGACAAAGCUUAGAAAUUUCCUAUGGUGACCUAUUAUGAGAAAUGAAGUUGGGAUAGAUUUAAUUCUUAGAAAAUUUUGAAGUUCAUUGAGUACAUUAUUGAUGAGGUAGAAAACAGAGAACCAUUACAAGAUUUUUUUGAAUAGUCAUGUGAGGAAAACACUUUUUAUGGGCAAUUAAUCUUUAGUGAGCAUGAAGGUGUGUUGGAAGAAGAAAGGAACAAGUGGUGAAAUUUAGCUAGAAACCUAUUGGGAAAAUAGAAACCCCCAGAACUAUGAGGAGACCCUCCAAAGAAUGCUGUGUAUAUCAGUUCCUGCGGUUUCACUUACUGCUUAAAAGUGAUAAAUUGUUUUAGGUGCUAUUCCACACACUUACUAGCAAGGACACCAUUUUCACACUUUACCUUUGAGUGAUAAUAGAUAUGAGUACCUUUGAAUAUGGUUAUAAUGAAGUAAUUAAAAAAUUAUUGACUUGAAUAUUGAUGUAUUCCAAGACACACUCUUUGAGUUAAAAUGCAAAUAUAUUAUGUUUUGUUUUCCUCAGUUGCAGAAUUUAAUGAGCAAAUGGAAUUGAUCCAUAAAAAUGAAUAGAUUUUAUAGUGAGUUUCUCCAGUUUUUAUUACCUUAUUUUUUUUGAGACAAAUCAUAUCAAUUAUUUUAACAUAAUAAAGAAAGGCCACCCAAUUUGGUUUCCUU